AGAGGUUUAAACAAUAUGGUCUCAUGGGGUGUGAACCAGAGGGAGGUGUGCGGACCAGCUGGACUUUGGACCACUCAGCACUAGAACGAAAUCCCAACUCUCUUGCUUAUGAGAACUGUCAUCCUGGAUAAUUUGAACAAAAGCAAGUGAGAAUACAGAGUGCAUAAAUCAGGACCUCUAAAGAUGGAUCUGAUGAGUCCUUGGAGCUGUGACCUCUUGAUUAGACAAGGAAUAGAAUCCCUGAAGCAGGAAGGAGACACCCCGAAGAGAAUGAAGGUCCCAGAACACUGCAGCAGAGAGGAGAGAUGUGCAUCGUGGUUCUCUGGAAGUCUACAGAAAAGCAGCAGACUCAGUUUUGGCUUAAAUGACUUGCUUAUUUCUCUGCACCGAGUAGCAUGACAUGGCUCGGAAUAAACAGAAGUUAUUUUGAGUAUUCUCCAAGAGUGAU
rnacentral:lncRNA from 1 species